rnacentral:rRNA from 1 species
ACGGGAGAGGCAAGCGUUGUUCGGAAUCACUGGGCUUAAAGCGCGUGUAGGCGGCCUCGUAAGUACCUUGUGAAAUCCCUCGUCUCAACCGAGGAACUGCUUGGUAUACUGCGAGGCUUGAGGCGGGUAGGGGUGCUUGGAACUCUAGGUGGAGCGGUGAAAUGCGUAGAGAUCUAGGGGAACGCCGGUGGCGAAAGCGGAGCACUGGGCCUGACCUGACGCUGAGACGCGAAAGCGUGGGGAGCAAACGG